rnacentral:tmRNA from 1 species
GGGGAUGACAGGUUUCGACAGGGCAUGCGGAGAAAGCGGUUGCACUCCGAGUUUCCGCACGGACGGACUCGUUAAAGAAGUCUGUGCAACAGUAAAUGCGGAAGAUUAUUCUUACGCAAUGGCUGCCUAAUUAGCACAAGUUAAUUAGUCACGCCACGUUUGCAAGUUGAAGCGCCUACACGGAGACUUGCAAAUGUCAUAACCCUGCGCUUGAGCAUUGCUCGCGCCGUAGGCGUCGUAGGCGUUUUUCUCAACGGCGCCUGCGACUACCAAGUUGAGAUAGCAACAUGAACCGUGUCAAUGCGGUCGCUUGUUGCGAAUGCCUAAACAUUGAAGAUGAGUGUGGGAGCCGAUUUUGACGCUGCUCUGGACGCGGGUUCGAGUCCCGCCAUCUCCACCA